GACGAACGCUGGCGGCGUGCUUAACGCAUGCAAGUCGAACGGAAAGGCCCUGCUUGCAGGGUACUCGAGUGGCGAACGGGUGAGUAACACGUGGGUGAUCUGCCCUGCACUUCGGGAUAAGCCUGGGAAACUGGGUCUAAUACCGGAUAGGAGCCAUUUUUAGUGUGAUGGUUGGAAAGUUUUUUCGGUGUAGGAUGAGCUCGCGGCCUAUCAGCUUGUUGGUGGGGUAAUGGCCUACCAAGGCGGCGACGGGUAGCCGGCCUGAGAGGGUGGACGGCCACAUUGGGACUGAGAUACGGCCCAGACUCCUACGGGAGGCAGCAGUGGGGAAGAUUGCACAAUGGGCGCAAGCCUGAUGCAGCGACGCCGCGUGGGGGAUGACGGCCUUCGGGUUGUAAACUCCUUUCGCUAGGGACGAAGCUUUUUGUGACGGUACCUAGAUAAGAAGCACCGGCUAACUACGUG
rnacentral:rRNA from 1 species